rnacentral:rRNA from 1 species
AUACGGAGGGUGCAAGCGUUAAUCGGAAUUACUGGGCGUAAAGCGCGCGUAGGCGGUUUGAUAAGUCGGAUGUGAAAUCCCCGGGCUCAACCUGGGAAUUGCAUUCGAUACUGUCAGGCUAGAGUGUGGGAGAGGGAAGUGGAAUUUCCGGUGUAGCGGUGAAAUGCGUAGAUAUCGGAAGGAACACCAGUGGCGAAGGCGGCUUCCUGGACCAACACUGACGCUGAGGUGCGAAAGCGUGGGGAGCAAACAGAAUUAGAAACCCUAGUAGUCC